rnacentral:lncRNA from 1 species
UAUUUUUGGGCUGAUUUUUGGGUGAUUUUGUGCUGAUUUUGGGGUAAUUUUUCCCAUUUUUCCCCCAUUUCCCCCGCUGCAGACUCGUUUGUGAUCCGGCUCUUUGGGGAUUUUGGGGCUGAUUUUUGGGCUGAUUUUUGGGUGAUUUUGGGUUGAUUUGAGUCUGAUUUUGUGCUGAUUUGGGGCUGACUUUGGGGUGAUUUUGGUGCCGAUUUUUGGGUGAUUUUGGGUUGAUUUUUUUGCUGAUUUUUGUGCUGAUUUUGGGGUAAUUUUUCCCAUUUUUUCCCCAUUUCCCCCGUUGCAGACUCGUUUGUGAUCCGGCUCUUUGGGGAUUUUGGGGCUGAUUUUUGUGCCGAUUUUUGGGCUGAUUUUUGGGUGAUUUUUGUGCCGAUUUUUGGGCUGAUUUUUGGGUGAUUUGGGGCUGAAUUUGGGC